CCUACGGGUGACAGCAGUGGGGAAUAUUGCUCAAUGGGCGCGAGCCUGAUCCAGCCAAGUCGCGUGAGGGAUGACGGCCCUACGGUUGGUAAACCUCUUUUUCCAGGGAGCAACUGACGCUACUUGUGGCGCCACCCCCGGCUAACUACGUGCCAGCAGCCGCGGUAAUACGUAGGGGGCCAGCGUUAUCCGGAAUUACUGGGCGGAAAGGGUGCGUAGGUGGUUUCUUAAGUCAGAGGUGAAAGGCUAGGGCUCAACCGUAGUAAGCCUUUGAAACUGGGGAACUUGAGUGCAGGAGAGGAGAGUGGAAUUCGUAGUGUAGCGGUGAAAUGCGUAGAUAUUAGGAGGAACACCGGUUGCGAAGGCAGCACUCUGGACUGUAACUGACGCUGAGGCACGAAAGCGUGGGGAGCGAACAGGAUUAGAUACCCCAGUAGUC
rnacentral:rRNA from 1 species